AGGACGAACGCUGGCGGCGUGCCUAACCCAUGCAAGUCGAACGGGUAAGUUCCUUCGGGGAACUUGCUAGUGGCGGACGGGUGAGUAACGCGUGAACAACCAACCUUAUACAGGGGGACAACAGCUGGAAACGGCUGCUAAUACCGCAUAAGACCACAGCGCCGCAUGGGUGCGGGGGUCAAAGGAGCAAUCCGGUAUAAGACGGGUUCGCGUCCCAUUAGCUAGUAGGUAGGGUAACAGCCUACCUAGGCAACGAUGGGUAGCCGAGCUGAGAGGCUGAACGGCCACACUGGGACUGAGAUACGGCCCAGACUCCUACGGGAGGCAGCAGGGGGGAAUAUUGGGCAAAUGGGGGAAACCCUGACCCAGCAACGCCGCGUGAAGGAAGAAGGCCUUCGGGUUGUAAACUUCUGUGACAGGGGACGAAGGAAGUGACGGUACCCUGAGAGGAAGCUCCGGCAAACUACGUGCCAGCCGCCGC
rnacentral:rRNA from 1 species